GUAAUGACAUCAGUCAAUCAGGAGCCCGGAGACAGAAGCUCCUCCUUCCUUCUCCCCGUCCCCGGGGGCGGGCUACUGGGGUGCAGAGAAGGGGUGGCGGUGCCGCGCGUGCGCAGGGCUGUGUUUCCUUCUAGCACCUUAAGGUGUGAAUCUGUGGUGGCUUCAGAUGAUCUGAAUCCCAGCGUCUCCCACCCCCUCUUCGCAUUCCCAGCUCCACACGUUCCCAUCUCUGUUCCCGUGCCUGCCAUGAGCACUUGUGCUGCCUCUCGCUUCAGCAGCGAGGCAUUGCCAACAAGGCUUAUUUGGGCUGUACAGACAUAAGGCAGUUCUUCAGGGGAUGUGUCCGUUGACCAUAAAACAUUUGGGGUCUCCAGCCAAGACUUUGUUUUCUAAAUUAUUUCCAGCACGACUGGCGGCACAGAUGAGAACUGCCUGGAGCUGGGGAGAGAGGCAGGGAAGGAGAGAUGAAGGAAGCUUACACAAAAUAAGAUUAAAUUUGCUUGAUUUUGCCUGAUGCAGUUUAUGUCAGUUGUUAAGUUUUGAUAUUCAUUUAUUUAUGAACCAAUUAGAAUGUUGUGGAUUUCUCUGGAAUAUGGAUCUUGUAUCAAAAUGAAUAAGGUCAACAUGCUGGCAUUUGGCACUUUGUGCAGUGUUUUAGUGCCUAAACUGAAGUCACUAAUAGCAUUUUGUUUUGUUUUCUGUGUUAGCCAAAAUGAAGGAUAAAC
ensembl:lncRNA